AGAAAUCAUUUUUAUACUGAAAGCAAUAUGUACAUAAAUGCAUAAUAGAUGUAUGCAAAUGACCAUGCCGGUUUAAUGAAUAUGCAAAUGAGCCUAGUAGUGCAGUCACUAGAUAGAGAUAUGAAGACUGACAUUUUUGCUGCACGUGUCCCUGACGCAUGUAUGGCACGUGAUCAGCAAUAAUUGAGUGCACCUGGAACUGUAGUCACGUGACUGAUGAACGUAAACUAGGUGGCUAAUUUACUGUAGCUUCUAUUUCACAACAACAACAAAGAAGUGUUUGGCCGUCAAAGGAAAAUAGAUAAAACACACUCUUUAUUAUGAAAUUACACGACAGGACUGUUCUUGGCGAAAUCAGAACCCAUGAUGUGUGUCGUCUCACAAACAAGGUCCCAGAUCUGUUCCUGGAUGGAGGAAGCCAUUUUGAGGUGAAGUUUUCUCAGAUCUCAACUGUGCAAGUGCUGACUGAGGGCUCAGCUCAUGGAGGGAAGGGUCGGCCUAGAAAAACUCAGUUUAGUCUGUUGAUCUAAACGGUCCGUGGGGUAUAUCUCUCUCUUGGCCUGAAUCACCAAUUGUUCCAGUAUAAAGGGAGAAAAUGGUUUUACAAUGUUUUCUACCUGCAUCACAAGGGGAUUGAGCCUCUGCACUACUGAAUGACACAGCAAGCACUUUGACGUGUAUUUUUCUAUGAAGUCCCAACAGACACCGACCAGAUCAGAGAACGGCAGCAGAAGAGCGUCUCACAGCAGACCUGCUGGGAGGAGUGAAGGAUUUCAGCUUGGUCUGAAAAAAAUAUCAGUAACAUUUCAAGAGAGAUGUGCUUCUUGAAUACACUGCCCCUACUGGUGAGUGGAGGAGCUGCAUAUGAGCAAGCACUUGAGACCAAAAAAAAAGGGGGAAAAAUACAAUAUUUAUUUUUCAGUUUACACCACCUAAUGAUGCUUGUUGUGCUUGUGUACCAGUCCUCAGUUUUUAAAUCUUUCUUUUCCCCAUAGAUAGUGUUCCUGCGGUUAGCUAAGCAGUUUGAUGUCUUAAACUGAAAUGACAACGUAUGCUGAGAAUCCACUUCCCUGCCAAGUUUGGCUUUUUCAGCGGCAGACUUUGAAUUUGACCCUGGUUUGACCACUGGGGCAACUCUUUUUACACUGUUAUUGUAUUAGUUUCAUUCUUUUCAAUGAUAAAUCUUUGUACUCGGCAGAAUAUAUUUCACAAACUGUCACUCCUGAAAGCACCCCCAUCCAUGUUAAACAACCUUGUGUUCUUGGGAAUAUAAUAUUAUAUUAAACAGUUGGGGGGGAGAGGAAAUGGAAAAAGCGCUUAAGCAAUGUGGAACGUCUUAAAACAGAAUUGCAACACUCACAAAGUAAAAAAAAAAAAGGGCCGGUGUUUGAGACUUGACAUCAAAAGUAUCGUCCUCAUGGCAAAUUGCUGCGACUCUAAUCAGACGCAGCUGCGGCCAUCUCUUCUGUUUUAUCGCAACUUUAUGACUUCCUAACCAAUUGGUCAACAGGUGCCUGUCUUUGUAAACCCAAAGCGAGCAUUCAGUAGACGCGAUCACAUUAAAUGCCAUCGCUGCUGCGCCGCACCGCCGUCUCUCCUUCCUUCCUUCUUUCGCCAUAGUUACAAUUUUGAUGUUGAUUUAUGAAGUGUCCCACACUGAGGUCAGCGGCCUAUCUGAGAUUUAUGAAACAGCCACUGAGAAGAGAGCGAGGCAACCCGAUCUAUCAGCCUUUAUUAUUGUUGUGACUCUGCCGUUAUAACCUCCCUCACAUGCAUCACUCUCAGUCAAUUGAGGAGGGUUUGUUUGAAGACAGAAGGCAGAUUCGGUAAUCGGUACAUGCGGCAUACUUCAGUGAAUCCGCACGGCUUCGCUCAAAUAUCUCGUCUUCCCGUCGUUAAUGCAUUACAUGUCCCUUAAUAUGCUGAAGCAAGUGAAUUUAUCACUCUAAUUGCUGUAGUACAUCAUGAUCUCUUUAGGACUCUUUUAGUCUGUAGAAAGGGGUAUGAUUACAAACAGGACCUUAUUCAGGAAUACAUGCACGUGGGACAUCUUGUGUUCCUACACCAGCAAAGCUUUUCACAAAAUAACAUGCACUUUAAAGCAGCAUCGUACAUACAGGGCAUACAGUUUUGCAUAAGCGAGAAUGCUUGUUUGGCAUAACACAUUCCUCAUCAAGCUUAUUUGAUUCACAAAGCAUGAACGUGAGACAUGCAGUCUUUGGUUUUACUUGCAUAAGAAUACUUUGUUUGGAUAAAAAUAAUACUCACUUAAAAGCAAGAUCACACAAGUAAGAAUGCCUAUUGGCCUAACCGAGUCAUGAUCAAGCUGAUUUGAAAUAAUGCGCAGGUCACAGUUGCACAAAUGCUCUUUUUGUAGCAAUGGCUCUGGGUUUGUCAGUGGGCGUCUUCCUGCCCUGCCAGGUUGCAGACUCCGUUUCUGCUCCAGAUUGACGAAUAAAGUCAUAUUCUGGGUUGCGUAGGACGACUUGCUUGGCAUCCAGCGCCGACGAGUGGAUUAAGCGGAGGCCGUGCCAUCUCUGAAUGGCACCCCAUUGCCAUGGAGACGAGCGUCGCUCAGCAUCAGCACCACGUUCCACACGUUUGACACUCGAGCUCUCAGAUGGGCGUGCAGCAACGACGACAAACAGCGGCAUAUUUCCACCGCUACCUCACAUAUGUUAAAUUUUCUGAAGUAAAUUUGGCAUGUCUAAAAACUAGGAUAAUGAUGAUAAAUGUGACAGCCUGAAAAACUAAUUACAAUUGUCUCCCUGCAUUCUCCAACGCACGCCUGUAUGAAAAACUCAUUUAAAUCUUCCACAAGUCCAAAAGACAGUCUUGCUCUAAAGCCAUUUGGCACACUCGCUCACCCAGUUUACAUUUCCAGAGGAUUAGCAGAAGAGCUUGAAAUAAUCAUGCCAGAUGUCUCCUUACACCCAGAAAAAGAGCCUGCCCAUUGGGCAUUUGGGUUUUUAUUGUAUUUUUUUUCUCUUUUUUUUUUAUCACUCUUAAGUGCAAACACUUUAGAGCCCUUGGAAUGCUUGGCCUCAUGUCGUGAUGUCAUGUAAGCAAAUUAAAUUCCUCUCAUGUCUGUCGAGUUUUAUGGCAUCACUAUAUUUAAUCAUUGCUCCUGUUUGUUUUUUUGUUAUAGUAGCUGCCUAUCGAGUGGCUGAACAGAUUCUGUUGUUGGGAAAUGUUUAAAACUAAACCUAAUGGAACGCUUUAAAGAAAUGACGUAGACCAAUAUGAUGAUGUAAUUCUGUAUCUCUACGUAUUCAAACAGUGAUAAGUCCCCCUGUGUGACGUGUAUUUAAAGAUAUUAAUAUCGACAGUGUUACCUGGCAAAUAUAGCAACUUUUCACCAUGUGUUUUUCUUUUUUUUUUUUUUUUUUUAAAUACUGUGACAGGAUUUGUCUUUGGACCUGAUGGAUAUAAAUAUUCAGUUUUAACACAGUUUGUCAACUACAAAACGAGCCUGCAUAAUUUCUGUCUCCAGCAUCAGCACUUUAACAGAGGUAAAGUUGUAACUUGUGGCUUUCUAUUUUGGAGAAUUUCUGUGUUGAAGACAGCCUACUUUUUGUCUUAACUUCAAGAGAGAGAAAAAGAGAGCCUGGUGAGAGGGUGAUUGUUUAUAACUAAUAUAUUGUAAGUCAUGAGGAGAACUAAAUGUUUCACAGAUGUCACACAACAUUAAAUGCAACUGGAUAAAAAGCAUGACAUGCUUUAAUUGAUAAACAAUUGUAAUCUUUGACAAAUUGCUGAGGAGUAAAACAUGCUUUAGGAUGUGCUGUUGAAGGGAAAUAAUCAACUUGGGUGGUAACGGUAACCGCAUCAUACCACCUCAUCGUUAAUUAUUUCCUUAUAACAACAUGCCCCCAAGUACUUUUUAAAACAAGAAACAUUAAUGUUAACAUCAUAUUAGUGCACUAAAGCAAAAAACAACUGUUUCAACCUCCUCCCUGAUGGAUUUUACAUCAUUUCAUUAUCCGACAAAAGUACAACACCGAGUUGUACAUGAUCAGUUCCUGAAGUGUGGGAGGAACACCAGCAAGGAACUCAACGAGGACCUGUCUAGUUCUUGUUCUAGAGAGUUCCAGAACCAUCUACUUUUAGUGAAAAUGCGCCUAAAAAGUGGUAUUGUGGAAACAAUGGUAAUGUACCGCAGAACACCACCAUGCAUUAGACAUUGCAUUAAAAAUGCGACAUGUAUCUAUUCCCAUAAAACACUUGGUUCCUCACUUGACCUCUGAAAUGCAACCGCAGCCUUUUCUCUUAGUAAAUAGAGACAUGUGUUUCAUCGCUGGACGUGAGUGCUACAGUGUUUGUGGGAUGGGUGUUUUUUUUUUCGCUUUAAUGAGUGCGGCAGGAAUGCUCUGUCUCCCACAUGUCUCAGAGGAAGAGGGAGGGCGGCCAUCUUAUUGCUGCCACAUGUGCAGCGCGCUCUCUCUCUCUCUCUCUCUCACUCUCUCUCUUGCGUUCUCCCUCUCCUGCAGGCCGGUGUGGUCAGCCAGUUCAAAGCAGCCCGUCUCAUUUGUUAUACACUUUAUGUAACAACGUGCUGAUGCCUCC